ensembl:lncRNA
UGAGAUGGUAGACAGGUAAUGUUAUGAUAAGUAGGCUCUUGAGUUGGGCCAAAAUCAAAACGACCCAAACUGAACGGUGCAAAGUGAAAGAUGAGGCAGAUCUCUUUGCACCCGAUCCCUUCGAGGCCUAGAUCUCUAUGUUUUGCCAUUGAAAGUCCCUCUGAUGAGGCACAGCGCAGAAAAACAAGCGUGUAAGCCAGACAUCAGUCUCAGCAAAGUAAUAAUAUAUAAUUAUCAAAGAUCACAAUGCAAUCUCUCAGGGUGAAACUACCCAAAAGGCAUCUUUACUUGCAUCCUCACCAGCUUCAUUGGUAGUCAGCAAGUGAAACUCGAUCUUAUAGCUCUUAAUAGAUUUCUAUAUAUUGGCAUUGAAAGAAAGGAUUUCACAGGCAUCGUAGCCUGCAGUCUGCUAGAGUCUAUCUUUUCCUAAAGGGAUAAAUUACAGAAAAGUAGUUUUUAAUAAACAGGAACAAAAGAUGUGAGAGUGAUUUGAAAUAUUAGCAAGUUAUUUCAUGUUUUAAUACAUUUUUUAAAUCUAGAUAUAAAAAUAACCUUGGGUAUUUAUAUACGUAGACAUAGUUCUGUCUGACAACAUUAUAGUUAUAAUGUCAGAAAAUCAGGGUUCAAAAGAGGAAAGUCUGAGCAACGCUCAGGAUUUAUUUUCAUCUAUAAAAAAGUUGUUGAAGUCCUGUUCAAUUUUUUUCUAUUUCUUUUUCCAAAGUCAACAUUAUCCUGACUUUUCUGGGUUUUUUUCUUUUUUCUUUUUCUUUUUUUUCCCCAAGUUUGUCCUUAGAUAGCCUCAACAGUAGUGAAAUGAGUCAGAAGAUCCAAUGUUUUCUUUUUUUUUAAAUAACAGUUGUUUCACAACCGUAUCAAAAACAGAAGUCUACUUUCCCUCUGCCUCUAUAAUACUGACGCCUUCAUUGGCAUGAAAAGAAUUGUUGAUAAAAUCACUACGAGUAACCCACCAAAAUCUAUCUGAAAGUUUGUAUGGGAACUGUUAGGUCACGGCCUGCAGUAGCGAUUGAGCACCUGGUGAAGAGGCGUGGCUAGCCCUUGGAGCACAGGUGCAGACAAUUCACCUGUGCAAUGGGACAGAUGCACCCUGGGUAAACCUCCUCCCUCAUUUAAGGGCUGGCAGCGGAGGGGGAAGCAUCUGUUUUUGGAGAUCAUCGUCUCUCUGGAAGUUUUUAGUGAGCCUUUCCUUUGGAAUAAGAUUUGUUGUCUGUCAUGGCAGAAAUACAGUGUUUAUAUCUUGGAAGGAGUAUCAAUUACUAACAAAGAUGGUGAAGAAAGAGCACAAUUGUCCAUGACAAAUUACACCACAAACAGUACCAUAAUCUGGCAUGCUGAAUUCUCAUACUUCAGAGCUCAAAGAGAAGAAGAAUACAUAAAUUCCGGUCUGUGGCCUACGGAUAUUGUAGUCAACACUCUGAUCUCCCUUGCUAAAGGGACCCCCCCAUCAUGUCCCUAUGGCAGAUGAGGACACCCCCUCCGAUGACUGAUGUAGUUGAGCAGCUGCAGAAAUCUGGCCAAAGGGUACGGUACAGGCGGUUGGGGCAUGCCCCUGAACAGACUGUAGUGAUGACCCAAGAUGGAAAUAAAGCCUGUAUCUCACCCUGGAGGGUGGACCUUCUCCUGCUUGUACCCCUCAAACCUGGGUAUUAGUCUCUAUGAGUCUUCAAGCCUCUAGGAUGAUCGGAAGGAACAAAAUACCAUCAUAGCGUUCCUGUGAGAUCUUGUGUGACACCCAGUGAACCGUCUACAUUGGACUGAUGGAGCACAGGAUGGGCCUUAACGUCAAGACGACAUGCCUCCAGUAAUAACAUGAAGCACGGGCUCAUGAAAGAGCAUGAACAUACACUGUAUACUGAUUAUCACUCUUAUUAAAUAGUGUUAUCGUGACGGGCAAUGGUAUAGCGUUGUGGUGUGUCAGAUCUCUAUGUAUUAGGGAAGGCU